GUUUUGUGUGUUUUCUUAAAAAAUUUGCAUAAUGGACUCUCCCCAUAGGACAGUCCCAGUGUCUCCGAACAGUGAUUGUAGUCCUGCAUGCUUGGUCAUGUGAGACUAAAGUCAAGAUUUAUAGUCCAGGCCCAUGUAAUUCAACGUCAAACAAUUCUGAUAACAUAAGGGCUGGAAGUCAACCAUUUUCUCAUGAGUUCUUAUAAAAAAAGUCAUUUUAGCCAAAUUGAGUUUGAAGGGUGGGUGUGU
rnacentral:lncRNA from 1 species